AGGACAGAAAGACACAAUUAAUCAUUGUCUCCUGGUAUUGUAGUGGCAGCUAGCGAAGCAGAUAGCAAAUUGGCUAGCCUCCAGCAGGCUAACGCAAUGGGCACCCUCUUGUUUGUUGUUGGUUGUCAAUGUCAUAGCUAGCCUAUGUUGAUUUACAUGAGUUGUGUUUGUGUUGUGUGUAACCAUGGGGAAAACCGUCCCUCAGUCAUUCUCCGCUAUUUAUGUGUGUUGACCACCUGGGGAAACUGCAGGAUCAUGGAACAGGCAUCUGCUCCACUCACAGCCCAGCACCAUGCCACAAGAGGUUGUCAUAAGUAAUGGUAAUAUUACUAAUACCUUUAAAGAACUUGAAAGAUAUUUUUACAGGAAUUACUUAGAAGGGACAAUGUGUCUUUUUUUAUGAUUGUGAAGCAUGGCAUUAAGUGCAUAUAUAAAAUCCCCCCCACCUCUAACCUUAGUCUUUCCUUUGGGUACAUAAUAGAUUCCAGAGGCUCGCAGCAAGAAGUAUUUCU